rnacentral:tRNA from 1 species
CAGAAAAUAGUUUAAUUUAAAAUAUUAAUUUUGGAGAUUAAAGUUGGAAGGGUUUCUUUUCUGA